UCCAAAGCGCUCUUAUUUGGUCAGAACCAAGGACAGUGAUCGAGGAUAGGUACGUCCGUCCUUUUUACAAUGCAACAAACUAUUUAAAGAGCAUCAAGCUAUUCAAAUCUCUAUUAUGUAAGCACAAAUAAUAUAACAGUAUAUUAGUCAGUCAUUUUUAUUAGGUUAAACAGUGAUUUGAUAAAGGUUUUUUUAAGGCCCACCCACAAUUGGUCUGGCCCAUCCAAAACUGGAAUCCUGGCGCCGUGCCUGAGGAGUGGUGGAGGCU